CUCUCCCAGCCCCUAAAUUGUGUUUUCACGCUUCUUUUCUUCAUCUACAUUAUCGAUUUGUUCUACGAAAAAUUCUGCACCGAUCAAAUCAAAUCCAAUACAUUCAAGAAACGGAAAUAUACAUGAAAGAUUUCCAAAUAAUAAUUGAAAAUAAUAUGCAUAAAUCAUAAUUUCAAAUUCAUUCAUAUCCAAUCCAAUAAAAUAUGGAAGUUUUUGGAUGUUUGAAUUGUUGAUCAGAAAUUUCAUGGCAAUCCGCUCAUUCCACCUUCUCUUUUUUAUAGAAAUCGGCCGCUUCAUUGCAAAAAAGGUUUAUGGUCAACCGCUUCAUUCCAAAAAGGGUUUAGGGUUUUGGAUGGUAUUCAUCACUACCACAAACUUCAUUCCAUUAAUGAUGAAUAGGUUUACUUUUUUGUCUGAUGCUGGAAUCUUCUCAUCGGAAAAUCGAUUAUGCACGAUUCUCCGUUUCAACAUUUCUCUAGGGUCACUACUUCUGGAAUAGAACUGUUGGAGCCGACCAUUUUCUUGAUGCGUCACAUGACUGGGCAUGAUGGAGAGUUUCAAUUGAUUAUACAUUACACAAAUGCUAAUAAACUAUUAACAGUCAUGCUCCAGUAGCUCCACAAUAUGAUCAUCCCCAACAGGCUCAUUACAAUGACCAUUUCAGAUGACAAGGAUGCAUUAAAGAAAAAAAAAUGCUUAAAUAUGAAGCUAUUUUCAAGAACCAGGUAUUAAUACCAUCUCUUAUCCCAAAAAAAAUAUUUUUUAAAGUGUCAUAUGAUUUUUACACUUACAAAUUGAAAUGAAUUAUCUUGGUUGGGUAGAAAGAAUUGAUGAACAAAUUUUUAAGUCUAUUUGUAAGAGAAUCAUUUUAAUGAUUUAUAAAGUAUAACCAAUUUUGAUUAAGCUCUAGAAAUUUUUAUGAUUGAUACCAACUUAAGACUCUAUCAAUCAUCUUCGUUUGUGUUAAAGUCUUUACUAAAGUUGUUUUUUUUCCGUAUGCCCACCAACUGUUUGUUAAAAUGCUCAGAAUCCAACACUAAAGUUUUGGCUUUUUACUAUAUUUGUGAUUGGUGGAGACCAGUAGCAGAUUCUGAAAAUGGUUGAAUCCAUGGUGGUGUAUGCUGGUGUUUUGCCUGAGUACUAAUUCUUACACCAUUCAAAUAUAUUCUUUACUAUUUUGUUUUGACUUUUGGUGUUAUAUAUGUAAUAUGUUAAUGUUUAACAAAUUGAAGAAGGUCUGCACGAUAAUCUUUAUUUC